rnacentral:misc_RNA from 1 species
GGAUCAUUAUUGAAGUUAAAGGGAGAUUGCUUUCGAGCAUCUUCCGAUUUUUUCAGAUCUUACACACCUGUGCAUCGUUGUCGAGUUCGCUCGAUGGCAAAACUUUUAAACACACACGAAAAUGUUGAGAAAGUCUAAACUAUAAAAUAAAACACAACUUUUGACAACGGAUCUCUUGGUUCUCCCAUCGAUGAAGAACGCAGCGAAAUGCGAUAAGUAAUGUGAAUUGCAGAAUUCAGUGAAUCAUCGAAUCUUUGAACGCACCUUGCGCUCCUUGGUAUUCCUUGGAGCAUGCCUGUUUGAGUGUCUUGAAAUUCUCUACUAUCCAACUUUUUUCACGAAGAGCUGGACAAGUAGGUGCCUGGGCUUGCUUGCGGUUUGGUUACAGACACACGCUCGCCUUAAAUGCAUUAGCUGGACUUCAGUAGAGUUGUUAAGUAACAUUGAAAACUCUUGUCAUCGAAGUCUGCUUUCGAACCUGUCUCCUCUUCUGAGGUAGAUUUUUUUUUCAAUUUUGGGGCCUCAAAUCAGGUAGGACUA